GUGUCAGCAGCCGCGGUAAUACGUAGGGGGCAAGCGUUGUCCGGAUUUACUGGGCGUAAAGCGCGUGUAGGCGGGAGCGAAAGUCCGGUGUGAAAGCCCCCAGCUCAACUGGGGAAGGUCGCUGGAAACUGCGCUUCUUGAGGGCGGCAGAGGGAAGUGGAAUUGCUGGUGUAGCGGUGAAAUGCGUAGAGAUCAGCAGGAACACCCGUGGCGAAGGCGGCUUCCUGGGCCGCGCCUGACGCUGAGACGCGAAAGCGUGGGGAGCGAACGGGAUUAGAUACCCCGGUAGUCC
rnacentral:rRNA from 1 species